CAUUCUCUCACCGAAGUUUCUCUCUCUCUUAAAUGCUUUGUUCUUCUAAAAUGCUUUGUUCGUGCUGGGUUUUAUAUGAGGAUUUUUCCAUCUGACACUGUGUAACAUUGAUCGGCUUCUGUUUAGUCUGUGGGUUGUGAAUCUGAGCAUGACUUUCAGAUUCAUUCUUUCCUGUUCGAUUUAUUCUCUCCAUUUUUUGAUUCCACAUAUUCGGUCUCCGUCUCAGUGCGUUGUGGGUUGUUGCUUUUAGGUUUUUCUGUUUGAAGACAUCUGACGUCUCAUGUUUCUAGAUUUUCAUCUUCUUGGUGGUUGUUGGAUCGUUGGAUUAUGAAGACCUUCGGCUUCUCAGCACAGACUUCACAAAAAGAAUAGAUGAUUCAACUUAGUGCAGACCCUCAUCGACUCAAGCAACAGCGGCACAAAAACUUCGAUGUCCUCUCAAUUGAUCUCAUACAAGAGGACACAAAAUGACCAAUUAUCCCACAAACCAGCCAACCACUAUUUUCAUGUACUAAAAAAAUAUUUGCAUUAUGUAUUCUACUUUUGGAAAAAAACUAGGACUUUAAUUUGUCUAUGUUACUCUACUCCACAAACUUGAAUUAAACUAUGAUGUAUUUUGAAUUGAUCUUUUUGUUUUCUAAUGUAUCCAAACAUGUAAUUAUUAUACUUCAGUAA